rnacentral:rRNA from 1 species
GACAGAGGGUGCAAACGUUGCUCGGAAUCACUGGGCGUAAAGGGCGUGUAGGCGGGAAGGAAAGUCAGAUGUGAAAUCCCCAGGCUCAACCUGGGAACUGCAUUUGAAACUCCCUUUCUUGAGUACCAGAGAGGAAAGUGGAAUUCCUGGUGUAGAGGUGAAAUUCGUAGAUAUCAGGAGGAACACCAGUGGCGAAGGCGGCUUUCUGGACGGUAACUGACGCUGAGACGCGAAAGCGUGGGGAGCAAACAGG